rnacentral:rRNA from 1 species
UACAGAGGUCUCAAGCGUUGUUCGGAUUCAUUGGGCGUAAAGGGUGCGUAGGUGGCGCGUUAAGUCCGUUGUGAAAUCCCUGGGCUCAACCCAGGAAUUGCUUCGGAUACUGGCGUGCUUGAGGCCGGUAGGGGUCACUGGAACUGACGGUGGAGCGGUGAAAUGCGUAGAUAUCGUCAGGAACGCCGAUGGUGAAGACAGGUGACUGGGCCGGAACUGACACUGAGGCACGAAAGCGUGGGGAGCGAACGGG